UAUAGUAGGGAGAUAUGG
rnacentral:miRNA from 1 species